GGCCUGGUUGGGUGGUCUUGCCGCAAGGUAAGCACUGCUCCGAUCGGGUCUUUCCUUCUGGGGAACCAGCGUGCUCUUAAUUGAGUGCGCAGGGGAUCCAGGACUUUUACCUUGAGAAAAUUAGAGUGUUCAAAGCAGGCUUAUGCUCGAAUACAUUAGCAUGGAAUAAUAAAAUAGGAC
rnacentral:rRNA from 1 species